CCGGCUCCCUCCCCAGGCUAAUGAUGCAGGCCUCGCUCCCGGGGGAGGGUGCGGGGAGGAGAUGGCGGCCUGCUUGGGAAUCUACAUCCUUGGCGUUUAUUGAGCGCUUAUUAAGCGCACAGUGCUGACGCUCUUAGGGAGCUAUCUCAGAGCCUCUGGUCCCGAGCGUGGCAGACUGUCCUCAGUUGACCAGGGAGAGAGGAAGGGGGCAGGGGACUGGAGGCAAACGGCGUGGGUUUCUGGACUCGCGGGGGUAGGAUACACCGGAGCUACAUCAGCGUUUCAAAUUAGGAAGGUGUUACUGAGUAUCUGGCGCGUUGCUGAAGGAGCCUUCCUUGUGUUGUUGCUGGGGUUACAAGGACCAUCACUGAGGUGCAACAAGGGGACUUGACAGAUAGGAGAUGGCUGGUGCCAGAGCCAACAUAUGCUUUCUGUACUAAGGCACAGGAACCAGGUGCCUGGCCACCGUUCCUGCUCACCAUUUAGCCUGACCAGUAGCUGUGGCUUUUAACUGCAUUUGUCAGGCAAAGAACAAGUGGAAGCCAUGCAGGAGCUUCGGCAUCACAAGAUGCUCUAGACCCAUCUCACGUAUUCCAGCACUAGAACCAACUUCUCCAAAGAGCUGUCUUUUUGUUGAAGGAUGGUGUUUAGAAACCAACUGAUUGUGGCCAUUAUAACUGGGAUAUCACUGCUUCUAGGCCCUAUCAGUGGACGGAGUAGGAAAUGUAUGUAUGUUUACUAAUCCAUUUAUCCAUACAUGUCUGCAUUUAUUUCUGUACCUGUCUAACUGUAUAUAUAAUUAAAAACAAAACAGCACAUGAGUUCAUACUGAUACUUUCAAUUCCAAUCCAGCUUAUUUAUAACUAUUUGUGCUUAUUUAUAACUUUCUUUGCCAGCGAGAAACCUGGCUUGCUUUACCUA